rnacentral:lncRNA from 1 species
UGAAACUCCUCCUGUCAGCUCCUCCCCGGCGGGCCUCCCCUCACCUCCGCUGGGCAGAGGUGCCGGGUGUGAGCCCGCCGUGGCGCGCACGCGCAGACGCUGGCUGGGCUGAGCCGAUACUCGCGAGGCGCCCUGUCACAUGAGCCGCGCGCCCGCUUCGCUCCCCCUCCUCCCCGGCUGGGCUGUGUGAAUGAAGCUCUGCCGGCUACGUGGGGCGCUCACUCAACUUGGUGUCCUGGACGCCAGAGCCGACCGAGCGCGCUGCCCACCGGCGGCGGACACGGACUCCGCCGCUCCUGACCUCGGCGACAGAGCAAAUCAGUUGCCCGGAGUUCCCAGCGAAGUUGUACCUGUGUGCCCGUGCGAUAACGUCAGUGGAAGCUGCCCCGAGUUUGGGGCUUUAGCACCUUGCAGAAAACAGCCACAGAGCUGCUUUUCUAUCAAGUCUCCCUAUAAAACUGAGUGGCUCUGGGAAACUUAGCCUGCGACCCCAGAGUGGGUGAAGAUAGGAUCAAGAUGGCCAUGUGGCAGGGUAAGAAAUUAGCACUUAUUCUUCUAACUGGUUUUUCCUCCUACUCUAUUCUCUACCCUCACCCAACCAUUCCCCACCCAGCCAAUGGCAGGCAGCCAGCUGUUCUUUAAUUUAACCCUUUGUCUUUGCAAGGACAAAACACAUUAGUUUAAAAAGAAGCUGCUGCUAGCUAUAAGUUUAAAUUAUUUAAAAGUGGG